GAGGUGGCCGCCGGUCGGCCUCCCGGACGAGCGCACCGUACCCGGCCAGCGACAAGACGGUGCAGG
rnacentral:ncRNA from 1 species